ensembl:snoRNA small nucleolar RNA SNORA42/SNORA80 family
GAGUGGUCAGAGCAAAUGACAAUCUUUAAAACAUGAAAUAGGCUCAUAGUGGACCCAUGCCAGAGGAAGUUGCAGCCUCAAACCAUUGCCCAGCCUCCUUACCCUUGGGCUGUGAGCACUGAAGGGAGCUGUACAGUA